ACGCUCGACACCUACGGGCGGCAGCAGUGGGGAAUAUUGCACAAUGGGGGAAACCCUGAUGCAGCGACGCCGCGUGAGCGAAGAAGUAUUUCGGUAUGUAAAGCUCUAUCAGCAGGGAAGAAACUGACGGUACCUGACUAAGAAGCACCGGCUAAAUACGUGCCCGCAGCCGCGGUAAUCUGAGCGGGCUGGCAAGGC
rnacentral:rRNA from 1 species